GACGAACGCUGGCGGCGUGCCUAAUACAUGCAAGUCGAACGCUUCUUUCCUCCCGAGUGCUUGCACUCAAUUGGAAAGAGGAGUGGCGGACGGGUGAGUAACACGUGGGUAACCUACCCAUCAGAGGGGGAUAACACUUGGAUACAGGUGCUAAUACCGCAUAGCAGUUUAUGCCGCAUGGCAUAAGAGUGAAAGGCGCUUUCGGGUGUCGUUGAUGGAUGGACCCGCGGUGCAUUAGCUAGUUGGUGAGGUAACGGCUCACCAAGGCCACGAUGCAUAGCCGACCUGAGAGGGUGAUCGGCCACACUGGGACUGAGACACGGCCCAGACUCCUACGGGAGGCAGCAGUAGGGAAUCUUCGGCAAUGGACGAAAGUCUGACCGAGCAACGCCGCGUGAGUGAAGAAGGUUUUCGGAUCGUAAAACUCUGUUGUUAGAGAAGAACAAGGACGUUAGUAACUGAACGUCCCCUGACGGUAUCUAACCAGAAAGCCACGGCUAACUACGUG
rnacentral:rRNA from 1 species